rnacentral:lncRNA from 1 species
AUCUCGUCCGUCUGAUCGCGCAUAAGGAGAGAAUGCAUUUGAGUCGUUCACGUGCGCAGAAUUGAAUCUGGACCAUCGGAUCCCUGGGCACGUAAAUCGCCUGAUGUCAGUAUGUUUUGCCACAUGGUGUGCUCUGGUUCGGCGUGCUGUUGACUGAGUCGUCCCUUAUGGUCGAAUUUUCUCUUUUUUAUAUUUUGACAUCAUAU